UUCUGUGACUGUUGUGUUACAGGUGUGUCUGCAGGGAGGACUUCUCCAGCUCCUUUGCUGCUUCCUACACAGAAGCCUGGCAACCAUCACAGAAGUCCUCCAAGGAGAAAGAACAAAGCUACAGGACACUAGAAACCCCAUGAUCCAUCCGAAAACAUGAGGCAAAUGCUGAAAGAAUUGCUGCAAGCCGAACAAGAAGUGGAUGCAGAGGCUGGGCAGAAGGCGACAUUUCCCCGAGGAAGCAGUGGAUCUGUGGCAGCCUCUGCUGCAGGAAGAGAG